rnacentral:rRNA from 1 species
CGUAGGUGGCAAGCGUUGUCCGGAUUUAUUGGGUUUAAAGGGUGCGUAGGCGGCUUUGUAAGUCAGUGGUGAAAUACUCCAGCUCAACUGGAGAGGUGCCAUUGAUACUGCAGAGCUAGAGUACUGAUGAGGUAGGCGGAAUGGACGGUGUAGCGGUGAAAUGCUUAGAUAUCGUCCAGAACACCGAUAGCGAAGGCUGCUUACUAAAGAGUAACUGACGCUGAGGCACGAAAGUGUGGGGAUCAAACAGGAUUAGAUACCCUGGUAGUCCACACUGUAAACGUUGAUCACUAGAUGUUGGCGAUACACUGCCAGCGUUCCAGCAAAAGCGAUAAGUGAUCCACCUGGGGAGUACGCCCGCAAGGGUG